rnacentral:lncRNA from 1 species
AUUUCCUGGAAGUGAAUCCCGGGUAGGCCGUCAUUGUAAGUAAUAAUUUGUUCUUAUGUGGAACUGACAGCAUUUUAGCAACAUGAAAUCUUAUUCAAAUCUGUUCAUAUACACCCCCAGGAAGAAUAUGACACUUUUUCAUUUUCUGACAAGUGAGCACAGAUAUGGUCAUUUUCAGAAAUUCUUAGAAUGUUUGGGAAUUACGUACACUAAGGCAUUUGUGAAAAUUCUAUAGCAAUAUAGAGUGGGAAGUCGGCCAUGUGUUUGGACAGUUAAUAGACACUGCAGUAAAUAAAACCGAAUAAAAACAUCUGUCUCGUCCAGGACCGGAGUGUCUCGUCCAGGACCGGAGUCUACACAGACUGUUAAGCCAUAGCCAAUCAGAGUGCAGGCAUACCCUGGCCGACCUUGGACUUGGGAGGUUUUUGAUACGGAGCUAUUUACCGACAGAUUAUGGGGAUAGUCGGCCUUCACCCCUGUCUCCAGCCUGAUGGACAACCUGACCUCUCAGUGGAUCCCUGAUCUCACCUCCUUGAUCUCAGCCUUCACAGUCAAACGCUCCUCUGCUUACUGAUAUCUGUGUUAUGUGAGGACUCUCAGGAUGACUGUUAGGUACCAUUGUUUUUUUAGCGCAUCACUAUUAAUCAAACCUAUGGAUGGGAGGGUUGACCUGAACCUUGCAGCGUGGCAGGACAAGUAACCUGAAGUCAUAUUACCUCCACCAUCUCUAACCAACUGAAAACACACACAUGCACUGAGAUGAUCAUGAACUGGUCUCUAGGAGAUACUGGUGAACAACUGGAAUGUUUUUUCUUCUAGGCUCCCUGCUCAGUUCCUCCAAAUCUAAAGAGAUCAUUUUACUUAACAGUGAUGAUGGCUGGUCAGAACUCAGAUCUAAGGAGGCUCUCCAAUAUCUUAGUUGGCUGAAUGUAGGUUCGAUCAAACGUGUGCUAUGGAUGUAUAUUUAGAUUUGACCUAGCUAUCUCAAAGUGAGUGACUUUUAAAGAUUAUAAGAUGAAAUGGGGAAUAAACCAAACCAAGACAAUGAUACUGACCGUAGGCUACACUCUUACAAAAAAAAGGUUCUGUCUAGAACCUAAAACAGUUCUUCAGCUGUUCCCAAAGGAGAACCCUUUGAAUGACUAUUUUUGGUUGCAGGUAGAACCCUUUUUGUUCCAGGUAGAACCCUUUUGGCUUUCAUGUAAAACCCUUUCCACAGAGGUUUCUACAUGGAACCCAAAAGAGUUCUACCUGUAACCAAAAAGGAACCAAUAGGGUUCUCCUAGGGUUCUCCUAUGGGGACAGCUGAAAACCCCUUUUGGAACCCUUUUUCUAAGAGUGUAGUUAACAGUUGGAAACUUAGCUAUGCUUUCUCAAACAAUUGUGACUUGCUGUGUGGCUGAUAAAAUGUGCAAUGAUGAUUGGGUUACAGCUCCCCCUUCCACCCUCUAGAGAACCUGUAUCCUGUGACUCACACUCUUACUUACCCCCUGGGUUUACCCCCAUAGGGGCCCGAUCCCUUUUGGUAGUUCCAGUUUGGACUUAAUCACCCCUGAGUGUGCCCUUGGGACCUAUUUAGAACAUGUCGCCUACACUCUGAAGGUAACGUUUCUUUGGCACCUCUCUGCCCCAAGUGUUAAAAGAGUGCAUCUUCAAAAUGGGAGUUGCCAUAUGUACCGGGCUGGCGGUUUCAAAUGGGCUUUCCAUCAAGUGCCAGUGUAUUUUACUCCUCUUACAGCCAGGGCACACUCAGAACCAAGGACAGGUCCUCUGUUGAAAGCUCUGCCAUCUUUGGGGAAGUGUUUUAGUGGGUUUGGAGGUUGAGAGGACUUGGAGGAAUGUUCUGGCUGGGGAAAGUCUGGUAAAUUAGACUGAAGGCGGGGUAAUAUCACAGACCUAGGAGCACUUAAAGAAAGAGAGGAUGAUCUGAUGGGCCAUGUGUUGGGGGUUGGGCGGAUGCUGAAGGUAACAGGGUUCAUGGAUUCAUCUGGUGUAGAGGUAAUCUGGUAUAUACAUACAUACUUGAAAAUAAAAGUGCUUCUUCAAAGCUUAUCAAUAAUGCUAAUGAUCUAAUUUCAAUAUGUACUGGAUGAGAAUUAAUCAGGCAUUCAGUCAUGUGGAC